rnacentral:lncRNA from 10 species
AUCCAAUGUCUUCAGGUCGGCUGACCUUUCAAGAGAAGCAGGAAAUCUGUGUUUGGAGAAGACAGCUGCCCAUGAACCAGGAAGUGGGCCUUCACCAGACAGCAAUCUGCCAGCACCUUCUUCUUGGACUUCCCAGCCUCCAGAAUAAAUCUGCUGUAUUCAGAAGUUUGAAAGCAGACUAAAAGAAGCCUCUGGGCUGGCUCGCUGCUGCUUUGAGCUCUGUUUGGAUUCCCUCAUAGAGACAGUCAUCUCAGCAUGAAGCGCACACAUUUGCUUUUCCCUGGUGCUUAUUAACUGAAGUCAAAUAAAUCACAAAAUAGAGAAAUUCUAUGCUGCAUUACAAUCAUGUCUAGGCUAUUGCUGGGUGGGAUUCGGACUCAUAAUUUAUUCAAGACUUCCCUUCCUGAGUCGACUUCAUGAGUCCACGCUCUUUCCUGCAUAGUUCUGUAAGCAACCCCAGACUCAAACCCUGCUCAAAGAAUGCUUUUUGGUUGAAUGAAUGAAUUUAAAUAAAUAAACAAACACCUGCC